rnacentral:misc_RNA from 1 species
UAUUCACCACCAUCAAGCUCCUCUGUCAAAUGUAAAAUUGAGUUUUUAAUUUAUCAAUAAAGUUUGGUCAACAUGCAUGUAUGCAGAGAGCAAUGUUACUGAUAUUAUCUAUAUGUACUGGUCCCUGUUUCUGCCACCGCUUAGGCACAUAGGCUAUUGUCAUUUAAGCAUAUUUUCUUCAAUUCGAGCUUCCAAUUUUACCCAGUAAUUCUUUUGGCUAUCUCCCUCAGAUGAUAUAAAAUGUCAAGUGAUAUCAAAUAAAACAGCCAAGUUCUUAAUGCCAUGGAUUAAGCAGUACACAUAGACUUAACCAAUUAAAA